GGUUUUAUAGCUCAGUGGUAGAGCUCAUGCUUAGCAUGCACAAGGUCCUGGGUUCAAUCCCCAGUAACUCUG
rnacentral:tRNA from 1 species